UGAGGGGAGACAGGUCAGGAUGAGGGGAGAAAGGUCAGGAUGACAGGAGACAGGUCAUGAUGAGGGGAGACAGGUCAGGAUGAGGGGAGACAGGUCAGGAUGAGGGGAGACAGGUCAUGAUGAGGGGAGACAGGUCAUGAUGAGGGGAGACAGGUCAGGAUGAGGGGAGACAGGUCAGGAUGAGAUCUAAGCAUCCAAAUACAAAAUAAACAUCUGUGUCUAAAGCAACCCACCUCUGCAUCAUCAAUAGUGAUGAUCAUUAGGAAUAAAACAAAGCAUCAAACCCGUCUCCCUCUAGAUCAGUCUGAUGAGGGGACCAGUGGGUUACAGGUACCUGUGUGUACGUGUG
ensembl:lncRNA